rnacentral:lncRNA from 1 species
CUCGCCGUUCGUCGGCUCCGGCCGCCGGUGCCGCCGCAGUCACUCGGUUCCCCGCCGUUCUGAGGCGGCAGGAAGCCCGGGGCUGGUUGAGGAGCCGCAGCGGAAUGCCGCUGUCGGCCGUGCCACAGGCGACCGUCCCUCUUGGCCGUCAGUCUGGGGCUGUCCCCACGUCCGUGGGGUGCUGGAAAGCGCAGAGACUUGCUGAGGCUUCCUCUGGCUGGUCUCAAGAAAAUCAUUGAGCUGUCAAAGGAAUGGGUAUUGCCUGACAUAGCAAGACUUUUGUUUUAAAUCUCAAAGUUGUGUCAACUAGCUAAUGUUUUUAAGAGACCUUAUUGCCAGCAGAGAUGGAAAAGGACAAAGUGCUUCCAAAGCUUCCACAGGCAUACCUGUAACAGCUAUACAUCAUCAAAGAAACCUCUCAUUCCAGGAUGGGUCUGAGUUUGUGCUUGGAAUCACACAUCUACCAGGCUGAUGUCUCAGUUGAAACUGACUUUUCAGUAUUUGGAUUCACCUCAACUGGUGAAGGCUGGCCUUAGGCUCGAAUUCCUCCCAUGCAGGUGGGCAGUUUCAACAUCUUCCUAUUGCAGUGAGAAAUAUGCUGAGCCUCUUCAGUGUGACAAUUCACUGCGUCUUGGAAUAAAAGAGAAAAAAUUGUCACCGUUCAAUACUGUCUUCACAUCCUGGAACCUCGUUCUUGCAAAAUCUGAAACAGACCAGUAAAAAUUCUAUGAAUGAAAAUUCGUUCAAGAUCAUUCCUAAAGCAUGGUCAAAGGAGGUCAAAGAGCAAUAUAAUGACUAUUUCAAAUAACUGAUAAAGUGUCAGGGAGCUGGUUCAUGGACAUUCCUGCAGUCUGUGCUUUAAGGCUGAAAAAAGACAGAUUGAUACAUACAAUGUCUACCAUCAAACAUAAUGAAAACAGAUGUAAAUCACUGCUAGGAAUUGAGUAUGAUUAAUAUAACCAAAGAUAAGGGUUGGUAGAUAUAAAAAGUAAGCCAUUUCGCCUCAUCCUAAUUCUGAAGAUACUUAGGUCCUGUGUGGUAAAUGAACUUGGGUGCUUAUUAGAGAUUGAAUUUAAGCUUCAUUUUUCCUGUUCCAGUAAAACAUCCUUAACUCUCUGAAGUUUCAGCUGCAAAUUGUGUCCCACAAAUUAGUAAUGAAAACAUGAACUAGCAACUCAAAAUGUGCACAAAUGACACACUGGGUGAGAUGACGCAGGAAGUUUUCAAAGGCCAAGAGUACAAGCUGGCAAGAUUUAAAUCAACAGACUGAUUUAAAAUCUGAAACAGAUGCCCAGGCUUGGUCUUUUGCAUGAACUAAAGUCAACCAACUACAUUUCUUCACAGAUUUUUACUAUGCUGUUCAGACACACAAAGCUUAUCAGUUGGACUGACCAGCUAUAUGAACUCUGACAGCAGUUUAAAAAUAUUUUUACAUUAAUAUUAUUUGCUCAUGCAAGAUCUCGCAAGUUUUUUAGGCAUCCUUGUCCACAUGAAAAUUGUUUCUGUGGACACAGGACAUAGCACAUUGAACUUUUCAUGCAUUACCUUGUCCAUCAUUAUCCUCUGAAACGCUCAAGGCAGGCAGCUGACAGGCAAUGCAGGCUCUGACUUCAUGAGGAGGAAUAUAUUUCUCAAAAAUUCUGUCUAAGGAAUUUGAUUAUCCCACUGUUACCAAGGAACUGAGAUUCCCAUGAUAGUGAGUAAAAGGAUUUUUUUUUUUCCCUAAAAGCAGUUGGUUUGUUUAAUAUUCACUUUAAAAGGUAUAUAUUAAACAUAGGGACUGAAGUCUAAUGGAAACAAAAUAUCUACCCCUGAAAAACCUAGCAAUCCUUGUCUAUAGUAUCUUAAAACUUGAAGACCACCUAUUCUACUUCCAAUUUGACUAUUUUUUCCCUUUUCUGUUUCAAUUCUCUUUGGCUCCUCCAGUGAGGAAAGGAUCCAAGUCUUAGGAUUGACUGUCCAAGCAACAACAUUUCUCAUGUUGCCACUCUAAACUGAAUGGCAAUCAGCAAUAAUGAGGUCAACUCUUGGGCUGCAUAAUACUGCAGGGAAGCCUUUAAGCAAACUGUAGAACCAGUCAUGACAGUAGCCAAAUAAAGCACUAAGCAAAGCUUCAAAGGUACUGAGCACAAGUACUUAAUGUUAAUCUGUAAGUAAAAGUAUCUCUAAUGAUACUUCAUUUUCUUUUGCUUCUUGACAGUUUUCCUAGUGCUGGGAAGGGCUCGUGAUUUCAAAAGCUGAAAGAAAGCAAAGGCACCAUCCCUGGACAAUGGCAUAGCUGUCUUCAAUGUACAAUUUCCUUCAGUGUAGUCUGAUAUUAAGACAAACACCUGAUGCUAGUACUCAGUAGCACAUUCCAUCCCAGAGGACCCACAGAAUCUGACAGCACACACAAACACUUCAAUCUUUGUGCUUGUAGGGUAAAGGUUGGCAGCCACUUAACACAGCACAGCAUUUUCAUGUAUGGUCUUAAAUAAAAAAAGUCCAGCUAUUUGGUUUAU